rnacentral:rRNA from 1 species
CUGGCGGCGUGCUUAACACAUGCAAGUCGAACGGAAAGGCCUGCAGCUUGCUGCGGGUACUCGAGUGGCGAACGGGUGAGUAACACGUGGGUGAUCUGCCUUGCACUUCGGGAUAAGCUUGGGAAACUGGGUCUAAUACCGGAUAGGACAGCUGUUUAGUGUCAGUUGUGGAAAGUUUUUUCGGUGCAAGAUGAGCUCGCGGCCUAUCAGCUUGUUGGUGGGGUAAUGGCCUACCAAGGCGUCGACGGGUAGCCGGCCUGAGAGGGUGUACGGCCACAUUGGGACUGAGAUACGGCCCAGACUCCUACGGGAGGCAGCAGUGGGGAAUAUUGCACAAUGGGCGGAAGCCUGAUGCAGCGACGCCGCGUGGGGGAUGAAGGCCUUCGGGUUGUAAACUCCUUUCGACAGGGACGAAGCUUUUGUGACGGUACCUGUAUAAGAAGCACCGGCUAACUACGUGCCAGCAGCCGCGGUAAUACGUAGGGUGCGAGCGUUGUCCGGAAUUACUGGGCGUAAAGAGCUCGUAGGUGGUUUGUCGCGUCGUCUGUGAAAUUCCGGGGCUUAACUCCGGGCGUGCAGGCGAUACGGGCUGACUUGAGUGCUGUAGGGGAGACUGGAAUUCCUGGUGUAGCGGUGAAAUGCGCAGAUAUCAGGAGGAACACCGAUGGCGAAGGCAGGUCUCUGGGCAGUAACUGACGCUGAGGAGCGAAAGCAUGGGUAGCGAACAGGAUUAGAUACCC